rnacentral:rRNA from 1 species
UACGGAGGAUCCAAGCGUUAUCCGGAAUUACUGGGCGUAAAGAGUUGCGUAGGCGGUUAAGUAAGUGAGUAGUGAAACUGUGUGGCUCAACCAUGCACCCAUUAUUCAAACUGCUUUGACUAGAGAGUGGAAGAGGUCGCUAGAAUUCCUAGUGUAGGGGUGAAAUCCGUAGAUAUUAGGAGGAAUACCAAUGGCGUAGGCAGGCGACUGGUCCAUUUCUGACGCUCAGGCACGAAAGCGUGGGGAGCGAUCGGG